UGAUGAGGCAACGCUCCACUGUGAGGUGAAACAUCUGCUAAAAGGUUGUGAAGUGAAGUGGAAAAGCCCAAAUGCUGAUUCACCUGAAUGGCCAUCAACAGUUCAACUCAAAUCUGUAACAAGCUCACAUAAUGGGACCUGGGAGUGUAUCAUCACCUGUGAUGGCAAACAACUGAAGCCUCCAACUUCAACAACUCCACCAUCCACCCGAAAGAACAUCACAUUAUUUGUAACGAGUGUUCAGAAGACAACAUGUACAACAUGUACUGCCAACGAUUGCCCACUGGGACUCUCCUGUUGGAUGUGGAUUGCAAUGGGGGUGUGCUGCCAGUUUGGGAUGUUCCUGAUAGUUUGUGUCACUGUCUUGUGUAAGUGCAUGAGUAGAAGGAUGGUAUGUGAGGAAAGGCGUCCAUCAAGUAUUUAUGUAUAGUGUUGAUAGCUGUGGUUACAGAUUAUGUUGGUCUAACCUCUUCGCCGAAUGUGUAACUGAUCAGAUUCAUAGUUUCACUACACCAAGCUCUUACAAAGUCCUGGACAUUUCACAACUGGCAAAAGUCUAAUUAAGUGUCUCGGAUUAUCUAUUACACUCUUCAGUAAAUCAGUAGAUGUACCAUUUACCAUUUACCACUGAGAUGAGAAGGCCUGGUUUGCAGUCUCCGCUCUAAUUCAUCCUAAAGAUGUUCUGUUCAAAAGUUCUUCCUCACCACAGUCGC